UUGAGCAACAAAUUCUAUAUAUACUAAAACCCAAUGUAACUAAACACUGUAGCUAAGCACAGUGUAAUGACGGAAAUGCCCCUCAUUUUUCUGUUGUUUUCGUUUUUUUUUUCUGCAGCACAGUUAAUUGACGAAACUGCCCUUGACUAAACAGCUUCUUUUGUUCCCGUUUUUGCCCCUCCCCCUUCGUUGAGAGGGUUUCGUCCGCUGAGAGAAAGCCCUGUCUUCCGUUCGUUUCCAACCAGCUGGUUGCGGGGCAGCCAUGGAAGAACUGUGUUCGUUGCUGGACAUGCGUUGGAGGCCGUCGAUUUUUGUUUGGGAGGUGAGCUGCAAAUCCAGCCGCGCUUUCAGUCUUCGUGUCACAGAUUUGGGAUCGGGAGAUUUCAUCUUUUCUACAACCUUCGACCUCAGGCUUCCAUCUUUCUUGCUUGCGAAUAUUUGCAUCCUUUGUCUUCAGGUUCUUGGGUUAUCUCUAAUGUUUUAUUCAGUAUAAUGGCAUUUUUGACCUGAUGAACAGCUACAUAGCCUCUUCAGCUCUCAAUCCCGCGUUCGCUUCUCAAACCAGAAAGAAAGCCGCGUUCACCGAAGAGAAGUACGAAAGAGAGAGGCCUCAGAGAUCAUAGUCGUCUUCUCUAAUUCUCGAACAAGUUUCCACCAGUACCAGGUUGUUUGGAGGAAGCUCCCUACGGGAUUUUAUGAGCUCCCCAAGAUUUACGGAAUGAAGCUCUGGGCAUAAUCGUUCAGCUCAGCCUUUGUGAUCCCAAUUCUUCAUCGGUGAAUUUUGCAUUAGACUUAAUAUUGUGGUAAGUGCUUGCCAUUAAUGAGUUGCUAGGGACUGGAAUGGUUACGCAGGAUACAUCUCCUUCAGUGUUGCUAUUCUUUGACAAGCAAAGAUUUAUAUUUAAUGUUGUGGAGAGGUGGUCUUUCGUUGCUUUGGAUAGAGCGGUUUGGUUGGUGUUUUCAGGUCUGUUAAGUAAGGGUGAGUAGAAUGCAGGUAUGUACCUCAACGGCAAGCUCAACCCAUGACUUGCAGUCAGGAGCAUUAGGAUCAACAUCCUUCCCAUCCGAUUUUGGAAAUUUAGUUUUGUGAAAAUCUGAACGACGAACAACCUUACGAACUCCGUCUGGGUAUUUCACCACAACCUCAGGAGGGCAACUAGGACAUGAUUCCAUUAAUAUAUAGCAACAUUAUAUUAGAUUUCAAUAUUAGCUUGUUAUUAUGUAUAGAUAGAGAUAUUGAUGUCAGCAGCAUAACCAUAUGAAAACCUAAACUAAUUAAUUAAUGUGGCCGUUUGAUAACCA